rnacentral:snRNA from 1 species
UGCUUGCUUCAGCAGCAAUAGACUAAAAUUGGAAUUAUACAAAGGUUAAGUAUGGCCCCUGUGCUAGAUGACAGGCAAAUUUGUGAAAACACUCAAUAUUAA